rnacentral:rRNA from 1 species
UGGCUCAGAACGAACGCUGGCGCCAGGCUUAACACAUGCAAGUCGAACGGGCCCUUCGGGGACAGUGGCGAACGGGUGAGGAACACGUGAGGAACCUGCCCUGGAGACCGGGACAACAUCGGGAAACCGUUGCUAAUACCGGAUGUCCUCAUCGGACCGCAUGAUCCGAUGAGGAAAUGGAUUCCGCUCCAGGAUGGCCUCGCGGCCUAUCAGCUUGUUGGUGGGGUAACGGCCCACCAAGGCUUCGACGGGUAGCUGGUCUGAGAGGAUGUCCAGCCACACUGGGACUGAGACACGGCCCAAACUCCUACGGGAGGCAGCAGUGGG